ensembl:lncRNA
CCCGGUGCUCCCCCGCCCUCCCCGCGCCGCGCGCGGACCCCGGCCUGGAAACUGCUGGACUCCUUCCUGGGGAGCGGCCCCGUCGCCUCCGGGUUAAGUCUAGGCGGGCUCGCGUCCUGGUCCCUGCGUCCGUCCCGCCCACCUCCGUGAAGGUGAAGGGUUAAAUGCCAGGUGCGGGUCGGCCUCCUCCUCACCUGGCCGGCCGGGUGCGCGUGCGCAUGCGCGCGCCCCGGGCCCUGGACCUUCGAGCCUUUGCAAAAGCUCUGACCAGAGUGACAACAGUGAUCCCUGCAGCCAGUGUUGGAAUGCGUCCUGGGUACGGAGUACUUUUAAAACUUCCUGGGUCCUCACAAGUUCCACCAUGAAAGUACAUCAUGAGAAACGCUGGGCUGGAGGAAGCACAAGCUGGAAUCACGAUUGCUGGGAGAAAUAUCAAUAACCUCAGAUAUGCAGAUAACACCACCCUUACGGCAGAAAGUGAAGAGGAACUAAAAAGCCUCUUGAUGAAAGUGAAAGAGGAGAGUGAAAAAGUUGGCUUAAAGCUCAACAUUCAGAAAACUAAGAUCAUGGCAUCCGGUCCCAUCACUUAAUGGCAAAUAGAUGGGGAAACAGUGGAAACAGUGUCAGACUUUAUUUUUGGGGGCUCCAAAAUCACUGCAGAUGGUGACUGCAGCCAUGAAAUUAAAAGAUGCUUACUUCUUGGAAGGAAAGUUGUGACCAACCUAGAUAGCGUAUUAAAAAGCAGAGAUAUUACUUCGCCCACAAAGGUCCGUCUAGUCAAGGCUAUGGUUUUUCCAGUGGUCAUGUAUGGAUGUGAGAGUUGGACUGUGAAGAAAGCUGAGUGCCAAAGAAUUGAUGCUUUUGAACUGUGGUGUUGGAAGACUCUUGAGAGUCCCUUGGACUGCAAGGCGAUCCAACCAGUCCAUCCUAAAGGAGAUCAGUCCUGGGUGUUCUUUGGAAAGACUGAUGCUGAAGCUGAAACUCCAGUACUUUGGCCACCUCAUGUGAAGAGUUGACUCAUUGGAAAAGACUCUGAUGCUGGGAGGGAUUGGGGGCAGGAGGAGAAGGGGACAACGGAGGAUGAGAUGGCUGGAUGGCAUCACUGACGCGAUGCACAUGAGUUUGAGUGAACUCCGGGAGUUGGUGAUAGACAGGGAGGCCUGGCGUGCUGUGAUUCAUGGGGUCGCAAAGAGUUGGACACGAAUGAGCGACUGAACUGAACUGAACUGCAGGCCAGAGGUUAUAGAUACCCUCCAGGUUCAAACAUCACCAAAUCCACCUGAUGAAUGAAAUGAAUGAAAGAGAGGAAGGGAAAUCACAGACCAUGGGCAGUGACAAGUUACCAAGCACUGUACCAGGUGCUGUCCAUUCAUUAGGUAAUUUCCACUGGGAGGGAGUUAUGUGUUCCCAUUUUGCAGAUAAGGAAACAAGGGCCUAAGGGUACAUACAGGUGCUAAGUGGGAGGGCUGGGGUUCCCACCAAGUCAGUCUAUCCCAGGCCAAUAAACUUUGGCCUCAGUGACCAACAAGUUUCUCUCCAGACUCAAAAGCCUGUAUCUUCAUACAGCUGAAAAGUUAGAUAUCUCCUAAGAUCAAGACUCCAAUCUCAGAUACCAUUUAUAUAAAAUAAAGAUGUAAAUAGGCUGUUGGGAAUAUGCACCCAGUUAAUAUAUGUGAAGCAUGUGCAAAAAGUGCCUUAAGCACUCAGUAAAUUAUAGCUAUUAUUACAUUGGUAGGCUGUUUAUUUUAUUCUUUCCCCAUCUCCCAAUAUAAAUUCCAAAUCAAUUUGGAGGAUAUGGCCUUAUCUGCUCAGCCAUGGGAAUAAAAUUAGUUUCUAACACACCUGAAACAAUCCACUGCUUUUUAGUGGAUGAAAUUACCCCCACCCUUCCUCCUGAUGGUGGAAAGAGACCCGAAGACUCUCCUGGAGCUUUGAUGUGCUCUCCCCUCCCAGUUUCCUGGGUGACUGGCAACCUGUUUUAUAAAAGCCUCCCCUUAUACAGGAAAAGCCACCCAAAUAUUUUUAAGUUGUUAGCAAAAUAAAAAAAGAAAUGUUUAAGCUGAAACUUGGUAAGAGAAUUUUGUGAGGUUGGGGGUUAAUAUAAGUACUAUGAUGUCAUGAGGAAAGUUUGUAUAGGAAUUGAAGCUGCCACCACCCUCAGCCACAGUACCCUAGGUUAGGUUUCUACCCUGAUACAAGACACGUCACAGGUUCCCAUCAAUGACAACAGCUCAGCUCACCCCGAACUGAUCCUCAAAGGGCAGGGAUGGAUGUAACAGGAUCCGUGGAGGGCAUUACAGAUGGACCAAAAAAUUCUGGGUGAUUCUAAAAUAUUUACACCUCUAAGGGUUUAACCUGUGGUUUCCAGAAAGCACUAUUAAAACGUUUUUGAUUCAAGAGUAACUUUAUAAAUGCCCAUAAUGGGAUUUGUUUCAUGCUCAUUCA